rnacentral:rRNA from 1 species
CCUACGGGAGACAGCAGUAGGGAAUUUUGCGCAAUGGGGGAAACCCUGACGCAGCAACGCCGCGUGAUCGAUGAAGCCCUUCGGUGUGUAACAAUCUGUCAGUGGGGACGAAACCUGACGGUACCCACAGAGGAAGCACCGGCUAACUCCGUGCCAGCAGCCGCGGUAAUACGGGGGGUGCAAGCGUUGUCCGGAAUCAUUGGGCGUAAAGAGUUCGUCGGUGGCACGUUAAGUCUGGUGUUAAAGGCGGAAGCUCAACUUCUGUACGGCACUGGAUACUUGCGAGCUAGAAUGCGGUAGAGGGAAAGGGAAUUCCUGGUGUAGCGGUGAAAUGCUUAGAUAUCAGGAGGAACAUCGGUGGCGUAAGCGCUUUACUGGGCCGUAAUUGACGCUGAGGAACGAAAGCCAGGGUAGCAAAUGGGAUUAGAUACCCGGGUAGUC